CCUACGGGUGGCAGCAGUGAGGAAUAUUGGUCAAUGGACGAGAGUCUGAACCAGCCAAGUAGCGUGAAGGAUGACUGCCCUAUGGGUUGUAAACUUCGUUUAUAUGGGAAUAAAAUGUUCCACGUGGGGGAUUUUGUAUGUACCAUAUGAAUAAGGAUCGGCUAACGCCGUGCCAGCAGCCGCGGUAAUACGGAGGAUCCGAGCGGUAACCGGAUUUAUUGUGUUUAAAGGGAGCGUAGGGGGAUUUUUAAGUCAGUUGUGAAAGUUUGCGGCUCAACCGUAAAAUUGCAGUUGAAACUUGCAGUCUUGAGUACAGUAGAGGUUGGCCGAAUUCGUGUUGUAGCGGU
rnacentral:rRNA from 1 species